AUUGAACCCUGGCGGCAGGCCUAACACAUGCAAGUCGACCGAGGGGGGGACGGGUGAGAAUUGUCUGGGAAAUUCCCUGAGGGAGGGGGAUAACUACUGGAAACGGUAGCUAAUACCGCAUACCAUCAGAUGUGCCCAGAUGGGAUUCGCUUGUUGGUGGGGUAACGGCUCACCAAGGCGACGAUCCCUAGCUGGUCUGAGAGGCUGACCAGCACCACUGGAACGGUGACCCGGUCCAGACUCCUCGGGGAGGCAGCAGUGGGGAAUAUUGCACAAUGGGGGCAAGCCUGCGGCAGCCAUGCCGCGGGUAUGAAGAAGGCAUUGGGGUUGUAAAGUACUUUCAGCGGGGAGGCGUUACCCGAAGAAGAAGCACCGGCUAACUCCGUGCCAGCAGCCGCGGUAAUAC
rnacentral:rRNA from 1 species